GUGGGGAAUAUUGCGCAAUGGAGGCAACUCUGACGCAGCCAUGCCGCGUGCAGGAAGAAGGCGCUACGCGUUGUAAACUGCUUUUAACCGGGAAGAAACCCCAGGACGUGUCCUGGGUUGACGGUACCGGAGGAAUAAGCACCGGCUAACUUCGUGCCAGCAGCCGCGGUAAUACGAAGGGUGCAAGCGUUAUCCGGAUUCAUUGGGUUUAAAGGGUGCGUAGGCGGAGCGUUAAGUCAGUGGUGAAAUCCUGCAGCUUAACUGUAGACUUGCCAUUGAUACUGGCGCUCUUGAGUGCGCUUGAAGUGGGCGGAAUGUGCCGUGUAGCGGUGAAAUGCUUAGAUAUGGCACAGAACACCAAUUGCGAAGGCAGCUCACUAAGGCGAUACUGACGCUGAGGCACGAAAGCGUGGGGAUCGAACAGGAUUAGAUACCCGUGUAGUCC
rnacentral:rRNA from 1 species